GGAGGGUGCAAGCGUUAUCCGGAUUCACUGGGUUUAAAGGGUGCGUAGGUGGGUUGGUAAGUCAGUGGUGAAAUCUCCGGGCUUAACUCGGAAACUGCCGUUGAUACUAUCAAUCUUGAAUAUUGUGGAGGUAAGCGGAAUAUGUCAUGUAGCGGUGAAAUGCUUAGAUAUGACAUAGAACACCGAUAGCGAAGGCAGCUUGCUACACAAUUAUUGACACUGAGGCACGAAAGCGUGGGGAUCAAACAGGAUUAGAUACCCUGGUAGUCCACGCCCUAAACGAUGGAUACUCGACAUACGCGAUACACAGUGUGUGUCUGAGCGAAAGCAUUAAGUAUCCCACCUGGGAAGUACGACCGCAAGGUUGAA
rnacentral:rRNA from 1 species